ACGCUCGACACCUACGGGGGCAGCAGUGAGGAAUAUUGGUCAAUGGGCGCUAGCCUGAACCAGCCAAGUAGCGUGAAGGAUGAAGGCUCUAUGGGUCGUAAACUUCUUUUAUAUAAGAAUAAAGUGCAGUAUGUAUACUGUUUUGUAUGUAUUAUAUGAAUAAGGAUCGGCUAACUCCGCGCCAGCAGCCGCGGUAAUCUGAGCGGGCGUGGCAAGGC
rnacentral:rRNA from 1 species